GUAAUCGCAGAUCAGCAUGCUGCGGUGAAUACGUUCCCGGGCCUUGUACACACCGCCCGUCACACCAUGGGAGCUGGUAACACCCGAAGUCAGUAGUCUAACCGCAAGGAGGACGCUGCCGAAGGUGGGAUUAGCGACUGGGGUGAAGUCGUAACAAGGUAGC
rnacentral:rRNA from 1 species